GUAGGGAAUAUUGGGCAAUGGGCGAGAGCCUGACCCAGCCAUGCCGCGUGCCGGAUGAAGGCCUUCUGGGUUGUAAACGGCUUUUCUCAGGGAAGAAAAAGAUCUUGCGAGGUACACUGACGGUACCUGAGGAAUAAGCACCGGCUAACUCCGUGCCAGCAGCCGCGGUAAUACGGAGGGUGCAAGCGUUGUCCGGAUUUAUUGGGUUUAAAGGGUGCGUAGGCGGCUUGUUAAGUCCGGGGUGAAAGCCCACUGCUCAACAGUGGAACUGCCCUGGAUACUGGCAAGCUUGAGUCCAGACGAGGUUGGCGGAAUGGAUGGUGUAGCGGUGAAAUGCAUAGAUACCAUCCAGAACCCCGAUUGCGAAGGCAGCUGACUAGGCUGGUACUGACGCUGAGGCACGAAAGCGUGGGGAGCGAACAGGAUUAGAAACCCUAGUAGUCC
rnacentral:rRNA from 1 species